AUUGAACGCUGGCGGCAUGCCUUACACAUGCGAGUCGAACGGUAACGGGCCUUCGGGUGCCGACGAGUGGCGAACGGGUGAGUAAUACAUCGGAACGUGCCCGAUCGUGGGGGAUAACGAGGCGAAAGCUUUGCUAAUACCGCAUACGAUCUACGGAUGAAAGCAGGGGACCGCAAGGCCUUGCGCGGACGGAGCGGCCGAUGGCAGAUUAGGUAGUUGGUGGGAUAAAAGCUUACCAAGCCGACGAUCUGUAGCUGGUCUGAGAGGAUGAUCAGCCACACUGGGACUGAGACACGGCCCAGACUCCUACGGGAGGCAGCGGUGGGGAAUUUUGGACAAUGGGCGAAAGCCUGAUCCAGCCAUGCCGCGUGCAGGAUGAAGGCCUUCGGGUUGUAAACUGCUUUUGUACGGAACGAAAAGCCUUCUUUUAAUACAGGAGGGUCAUGACGGUACCGUAAGAAUAAGCACCGGCUAACUACGUG
rnacentral:rRNA from 1 species